UAAUUAUACUGUUGCAACGCAAGGCGCUGAAAAGUAGAGGGACCGGGGGGAAAAAUAAGAAUAAAUAAGAAAGAAUUCAGAUUUUUGGGAUAAUAAAAGAGGGGGGGGGGGGAGGGGGA